rnacentral:rRNA from 1 species
CACGUAAGGGGCGAGCGUUGUUCGGAAUUAUUGGGCGUAAAGGGCGCGUAGGCGGCCAUGUAAGUCUGAUGUGAAGUGUCCGGGCUUAACCCGGGAACGGCAUUGGAAACUGGAUGGCUUGAGUCACGGGGGGGCAGCCGGAAUUCCUGGUGGAGGGGUGAAAUCUGUAGAUAUCAGGAAGAACACCGGUGGCGAAGGCGGGCUGCCAGCCGAUGACUGACGCUGAGGCGCGAAAGUGCGGGGAG